UAUGGCUCAGGAUGAACGCUAGCGGCAGGCCUAAUACAUGCAAGUCGAACGAUACCAGAGAGCUUGCUUUCUGGGAAAGUGGCGCACGGGUGCGUAACGCGUAUGCAACCUACCUUAAUCAGGGGGAUAGCCUCUCGAAAGAGAGAUUAACACCGCAUAAAGUCACACUUCGGCAUCGAAGAAUGAUCAAAUAUUUAUAGGAUUAAGAUGGGCAUGCGUGACAUUAGCUAGUUGGUAAGGUAACGGCUUACCAAGGCUACGAUGUCUAGGGGAUCUGAGAGGAUGACCCCCCACACUGGUACUGAGACACGGACCAGACUCCUACGGGAGGCAGCAGUAAGGAAUAUUGGUCAAUGGGGGCAACCCUGAACCAGCCAUGCCGCGUGCAGGAAGACGGCCCUACGGGUUGUAAACUGCUUUUAUACGGGAAUAAAUCUCGCUACGUGUAGUGAGUUGAAUGUACUGUAAGAAUAAGGAUCGGCUAACUCCGUG
rnacentral:rRNA from 1 species